UACGUAGGUGGCAAGCGUUGUCCGGAAUUACUGGGUGUAAAGCGCGUGUAGGCGGGAGGCCAAGUCUGCUGUGAAAUCGCCCGGCUCAACUGGGCGGGGUCGGUGGAAACUGGUCACCUGGAGGACGGUAGAGGCGAGUGGAAUUCCCGGUGUAGUGGUGAAAUGCGUAGAUAUCAAGUGGAACACCAGUGGCGAAGGCGAGUCCCUGGAAAACUCCUGACACUGAGGCACGAAAGCUAGGGGAGCAAACAGG
rnacentral:rRNA from 1 species